ensembl:lncRNA
AGAGAUGAUAUUGCACCUUAUUUACUACAGGAUGGUCACUGUCUUCCAAUUGGGAUUAUUUCACCUUUAUAGUAUAGACAUAUUCAGACAAACAAUGAGUAAAGACGUACAAGACUCACAGGUAAUUUUACAUUUUUAUUGCUUAAACUGCCAUCUGGAACAAUCUAUACCAAAAGGAUAAACAUCUUUGCACAUACAGGAAGUCAAACAGAGUACAGUCAUUGGGUAGAAUAGAAAAAGAAUGGUCCUCAGAUGACCUGCAGCUCUCAGAGCCUGCUGCAGGCCCCGCAAACUUGCUGAAGGUCAGGCUAGCAGGAGUGUCUAUGCCCGGGUUACAUAAGCUAAGGCAAACCGGGUGGAUUGCAGUGUGCCUACUAGUGAGCACUAAUCUUGUGAUGUGUAUACCAUAUCAGUACUUCUAUGUGAAGAAACACCAGCAAACCACUGGUGGGUUGUGAUCUGUCAGCAAAUAGACACCUGCAAUAUUCCAGAACAUCAACCAUCUGAAAGCAAUACAAAAGUUUUGGACCAAGUAGGCAACACUGCAAUCGACUCAGUAUCAUGUUGAUUGGUUUUCAACAUACAUACGGUUACACAAGUCCAUCCAUCCAUCCAUCCAGUCAGCCACACUGUUUUGUACAUAAGAUUAAAAUUGGAAACAUGACAGAACCUCAGAAAGGGAUAAAAGCAUUACCGUAUGUAAGGGUCCUUUCUGUUAGAAAGGGGUGAGGGGCAAGCUGUGAGGCAGGAAUGAACAGGAACACAACUUAGACUAUAGAUUUCUGCAGGAGUUAGAAGAAAAACAGCUAAUGACAUGUGUUCUUAAGAUUCAAGGGGUGAAGCCGGUAGUGAAUGACCACCUGUUUGAUCGACAGGGGCAGUUUGAGAAUACCAUUUCAUUACUUUACACUAUGCUGUAGGUAGGCAUAGAGUAGAUAAAUCAUUUUCACUAUGCUUUAACAGCGAAGCUGCUUUCAAAUAAAAUAUAUAAUCAGGACAAUUUAAUCUGAUGUCUGAAUUACCACAGUUGGGAUGCUUUCUAACGCUUUUUAACUUUUGCACUCAAAUACAGAAAUAAUUGUCUUAAAACCAUCUACAAUUCAAAUGUAUAUGAAUGACUUUAAAGCCCUUUCGCCUACUUAAGAGGUUAACCCAUGACUUUGUCACAAUACAACAUACUGUUUUGUCGGUUGACAAGAAGAAGCAUUUAUUUACGCUGUGGCACUGAACACCUAAAAUAGAAUUUAUGGAAAAAUAAGCAUUUACAAAAAGACAUUUAAAGGUACUUAACUUUACCAUCACUCCAAACCAUAGCCAUAACAUUAGUUUGUUCAGUCAAUAAAGAACUUUAAUAGUCAUAAUAAUAAUAAUUCUGUUUAAAAACAUAGCGAUUAAGUUAUUUGGUGUAUACUGAAAUGCUGAAUACUGAAAACCAUUUAAUAAUAUUUUUCACCUCUAUUGUAGCCAAUAAUGUACCAACAAAUCAGAGGUGAGUGUUAACAUGGGGAUACUUCCUGUUUUGAGUUGCACUGCUUCUGACAGAAUAAGAAUCUUCUAUGCGUUCUGUGUUAUGAAAACAAUUACUAACAUUUAGCUCUAGUUUGGUAGCUUUCCAACAGACAACUUUCUGGUUGCAUUAAGUUGUACAAACUCUCUCAAACUAGAUAAAAUAACAGUGAAUUGGAUUGAUGGACCAAUCAAUGGAAACAAUAUGAGAAAAUGUAAAAAUGUCUGCAAUUUAAUGUACAGUAACAAUGGAGGAUAACCAUUCGUUAUCACUGCAUGAAAGCUACAUAAGUAAUUAGAUGCAAUCAUUAUGCUCCCAGCAUUCUUGUAAUUCUAAAAAGUACAAUUUUAUGAAUUAUUUUGUAAGGAUGUCAACAUUGACACAUUUUUAUUGGAACUGAACUAGUUAAAAAUAUCUGAACAAUAUUCAGCAUGGACGCUUACUUCACCAUGUUACGUUUGAUUGUCCCAUCUGAUCAUUGGCCUGUCCUAACCUCGGCCAAUCCCCUACUAAUCACUGCUCGUGUUUAAACUAUAGGAAAACAAUUCUAGAUUCAGUGAAUGCAGUGAAAGCAUACCAUAUGAAUUUGGUACAUUUAAACUGUAACAUAACUGUGCUCCUAUAGGUGACUAUGAUAGCUAGGUGAUGGGCAGCAUAACAUUUAGAAAAAAAAUCAAAGUAAAUGGAAGAUAAUUUUAAGUGACAUUGAAGCAAAAUUGCAUUGGUGGACCCCUGGUUCUAAAGGAGGAGGCGUUAUGGGGUUACAUCAGGGAUUAGGGGGUGGGUACAGGAGGCGUUAUGGGGUUACAUAGGGGAUUAGGGGGUGGGUACAGGAGGCGUUAUAGGGUUACAUAGGGGAUGGGUACAGGAGGCGUUAUAGGGUUACAUAGGGGAUGGGUACAGGAGGCGUUAUAGGGUUACAUAGGGGAUGGGUACAGGAGGCGUUAUAGGGUUACAUAGGGGAUGGGUACAGGAGGCGUUAUGGGUUACAUAGGGGAUGGGUACAGGAGGCGUUAUGGGGUUACAUAGGGGAUGCGUACAGGAGGCGUUAUGGGGUUACAUAGGGGAUGGGUACAGGAGGCGUUAUGGGGUUACAUAGGGGAUGGGUACAGGAGGCGUUAUGGGGUUACAUAGGGGAUGGGUACAGGAGGCGUUAUGGGGUUACAUAGGGGAUGGGUACAGGAGGCGUUAUGGGGUUACAUAGGGGUGGGUACAGGAGGCGUUAUGGGGUUACAUAGGGGUGGGUACAGGAGGCGUUAUGGGGUUACAUAGGGGGUGGGUACAGGAGGCGUUAUGGGGUUACAUAGGGGUGGGUACAGGAGGCGUUAUGGGGUUACAUAGGGGGUGGGUACAGGAGCGUUAUGGGGUUACAUAGGGGUGGGUACAGGAGGCGUUAUGGGGUUACAUAGGGGGUGGGUACAGGAGGCGUUAUGGGGUUACAUAGGGGGUGGGUACAGGAGGCGUUAUGGGGUUACAUAGGGGUGGGUACAGGAGGCGUUAUGGGGUUACAUAGGGGAUGGGUACAGGAGGCGUUAUGGGGUUACAUAGGGGAUGGGUACAGGAGGCGUUAUGGGGUUACAUAGGGGAUGCGUUAUGGGGUUACAUAGGGGAUUAGGGGGUGGGUACAGGAUGCGUUAUGGGGUUACAUAGGGAUUGGCUACAGGAUGUGUUAUGGGGUUACAUAGGG